AGCGAACGCUGGCGGCAGGCCUAACACAUGCAAGUCGAACGAACCCUUCGGGGUUAGUGGCGGACGGGUGAGUAACACGUGGGAACGUACCUUUAGGUUCGGAACAACACAGGGAAACUUGUGCUAAUGCCGAAUGUGCCCUUCGGGGAAAGGAUUUAUCGCCUUUAGAGCGGCCCGCGUCUGAUUAGCUUGUUGGUGAGGUAAAGGCUCACCAAGGCUUCGAUCAGUAGCUGGUCUGAGAGGAUGAUCAGCCACACUGGGACUGAGACACGGCCCAGACUCCUACGGGAGGCAGCAGUGGGGAAUCUUGCGCAAUGGGCGAAAGCCUGACGCAGCCAUGCCGCGUGAAUGAUGAAGGUCUUAGGAUUGUAAAAUUCUUUCACCGGGGAAGAUAAUGACGGUACCCGGAGAAGAAGCCCCGGCUAACUUCGUGCCAGCAGCCGCGGUAAAGUCUGU
rnacentral:rRNA from 1 species